UACGUAGGCAGCAAGCGUUGUUCGGAGUUACUGGGCGUAAAGGGUGUGUAGGCGGUUCCUUAAGUUUGCUGUGAAAUCUCCCGGCUUAACCGGGAGGGUGCGGUGAAUACUGAGGGACUAGAGUACGGGAGAGGAAAGUGGAAUUCCUGGUGUAGCGGUGAAAUGCGUAGAUAUCAGGAGGAACACCGGUGGUGUAGACGGCUUUCUGGACCGUAACUGACGCUGAAACACGAAAGCGUGGGUAGCAAACAGG
rnacentral:rRNA from 1 species